CUAAGCCAUGCGAGUCAAAUGUUCUUCGUGAACAUGGCGUACUGCUCAGUAACACGUGGAUAACCUGCCCUUAGGACUGGCAUAACCCCGGGAAACUGGGGAUAAUUCCGGAUAGUUCAUGGUAGCUGGAAUGCUCCAUGAUCGAAAGCUAUUGCGCCUAAGGAUGGGUCUGCGGUCUAUCAGGUAGUAGUGGGUGUAAUGUACCUGCUAGCCGACGACGGAUACGGGUUGUGGGAGCAAGAGCCCGGAGAUGGAUUCUGAGACAUGAAUCCAGGCCCUACGGGGCGCAGCAGGCGCGAAAACUUUACAAUGCGGGAAACCGCGAUAAGGGGACACCGAGUGCCAGCAUCUUAUGUUGGCUGUCCGCAUGUAUAAAUCACAUGUGUUAGCAAGGGCCGGGCAAGACCGGUGCCAGCCGCCGCGGUAACACCGGCGGCCCGAGUGGUGGCCACUAUUAUUGGGUCUAAAGGGUCCGUAGCCGGUUUGGUCAGUCUUCCGGGAAAUCUGACGGCUUAACCGUUAGGCUUUCGGGGGAUACUACCAGGCUUGGGACCGGGAGAGGUAAGAGGUACUACGGGGGUAGGAGUGAAAUCUUGUAAUCCUCGUGGGACCACCAGUGGCGAAGGCGUCUUACCAGAACGGGUCCGACGGUGAGGGACGAAAGCUGGGGGCACGAACCGGAUUAGAUACCCGGGUAGUCCCAGCCGUAAACUAUGCUCGCUAGGUGUCAGGGACGGUGCGACCGUUUCUGGUGCUGCAGGGAAGCCGUGAAGCGAGCCACCUGGGAAGUACGGUCGCAAGGCUGAAACUUAAAGGAAUUGGCGGGGGAGCACUACAACGGGUGGAGCCUGCGGUUUAAUUGGACUCAACGCCGGAAAACUCACCGGGGGCGACAGCAAUAUGUAGG
rnacentral:rRNA from 1 species